UCCUACGGGAGGCAGCAGUGAGGAAUCUUGCGCAAUGGGCGAAAGCCUGACGCAGCCACGCCGCGUGCCGGAUGAAGGCCCUAUGGGUUGUAAACGGCUUUUAAGCAGGAAGAACGACCGGAUUUCGAUCUGGUGUGACGGUACUGCUUGAAUAAGCACCGGCUAACUCCGUGCCAGCAGCCGCGGUAAUACGGAGGGUGCAAGCGUUGUCCGGAAUCAUUGGGUGUAAAGGGUGCGUAGGCGGGCGUCUAAGUCUGGGGUGAAAUCUUGCCGCUUAACGGUAAAAUGGCCUUGGAUACUGGGCGUCUUGAGUGUAGAAGAGGUAAGUGGAAUUCGUAGUGUAGCGGUGAAAUGCAUAGAUAUUACGAAGAACAUCAGUGGCGAAGGCGGCUUACUGGCCUACAACUGACGCUGAGGCACGAAAGCGUGGGGAGCGAACAGGAUUAGAUACCCUGGUAGUCCACGCUGUAAACGAUGCAUACUAGGUGUUGGCCUUUCGGGGCCAGUGCUGCAGUUAACGCAUUAAGUAUGCCACCUGGGGAGUACGUCGGCAACGAUGAAACUCAAAUGAAUUGACGG
rnacentral:rRNA from 1 species